rnacentral:lncRNA from 1 species
GGGAAAUCGCAGCAGGCAAGACAGGCCCUGGUUCAAUAGUUUACUUAAAAUAUCAAAACAAAGGCAUGCGAUGGUGAAGGGAACCGCUUGGUCACUGUCAGGAGAGAACCAUGUCUGUGUAUCCCCCUGCUGCCUGGGCUCCACUGUGGGUUGUAUGGCACAGUUAUGGAUUCUGCCAUGAUUGAACAGUCUGAUGCUUUUCACCAUUAUGAAUUUUAAACACUCAGUUAGCUUUUUAGAAAGGAUGUAUGGCUGCUGAUAAGAUGGCUCGGCAGGUAAAAGCACUUGUGGCCAAGCCUGACAACCUGAGUUCAAUUUCUGAAACCUGCAUAAUGAACGGAAGGGCAAGGCUGUUUCUUGAAAAUCAGCCACUGAGGGGCUGGGGAUUUAGCUCAGUGGUAGAGCGCUUACCUAGGAAGCGCAAGGCCCUGGGUUCGGUCCCCAGCUCCGAAAAAAGAACCAAAAAAAAAAAAAAAAA